rnacentral:lncRNA from 1 species
AGAAAGAAAUGCUCUUAGUUGCCCUACGAGCAAAACCCACAUGUGCUUUAAUUAUUGAUUUUCUUUGUUUCCUUCUUUAUUUCUUAAAGGUUUGUACAAACUUGGUUCCUCUUGUGCUUAUUUAUAAUAUAUAAACAGUAGGGGGCAACUCCUCCUGUUCCAUAAAAAAAAUACUUCAUGUGCAUGGAUUCAUUUUUAUAGUACCAUUAACCUUGUGACAAGGAAGAACUACAAAUUUUGGGUUACCCAAUUUUUCAAUCACGAGAAAGAUGCACCUCACACACACACACACACCAUGUUACUUCACUUCGACCAGUAUACUUUGUAAAGACGUGUUUUGCGGAACUCCUCUAAAAGAAGUAGUUCUUUGACUAAAAGUAAUCCUCUGUGCAAGGCUGGACAUUGCUGGGUUAGCCAAGCCUGGAUAGCUAAG